rnacentral:misc_RNA from 1 species
GAUGAAGAACGCAGCAAAAUGCGAUAAGUAAUGUGAAUUGCAGAAUUCAGUGAAUCAUCGAAUCUUUGAACGCACAUUGCGCCCGCCAGUAUUCUGGCGGGCAUGCCUGUUCGAGCGUCAUUUCAACCCUCAAGCACAGCUUGGUGUUGGGACUCGCGUUAAUUCGCGUUCCCCAAAUUGAUUGGCGGUCACGUCGAGCUUCCAUAGCGUAGUAGUAAAACCCUCGUUACUGGUAAUCGUCGUGGCCACGCCGUUAAACCCCAACUUCUGAAUGUUGACCUCGGAUCAGGUAGGAAUACCCGCUGAACUUAAGCAUAUCAAUAAGCGGAGGA